rnacentral:rRNA from 1 species
UGGGAACGUACCCUUUGGUUCGGAACAACCCAGGGAAACUUGGGCUAAUACCGGAUAAGUCCGUAAGGAGAAAGAUUUAUCGCCAAAGGAUCGGCCCGCGUCUGAUUAGCUAGUUGGUAGGGUAAUGGCUACCAAGGCUACGAUCAGUAGCUGGUCUGAGAGGAUGAUCAGCCACACUGGGACUGAGAUACGGCCCAGACUCCUACGGGAGGCAG